rnacentral:misc_RNA from 1 species
GUGUUGCCAAGUCUCAAGUGCACACACCAGAGCAUACAUCUCUUUGUUAUAAGCGGAGUAGUUCAAUGUAGCCCCACUUAGCUUCUCACUGAAGUAGGCAAUCGGUCUCCUUUCCUGCUUCAAAACAGCUCCAAUACCCACUCCAGAGGCAUCACAUUCAAUCUCAAAAGUUUUAGAAAAAUCAGGUAAAGCAAGUAAAGGUGCAGAACACAAUUUCUCCUUGAGUGAAUUAAAUGCAUGCUCUUGUUCUUCCCCCCACUUGAAUCCCACAUUUUUUUUUACAACUUCAUUCAAGGGUGAGGCUAUGGUACUGAAGUCCUUUACAAAUCUCCUAUAAAAACUAGCCAACCCAUGGAAGCUCCUCACAUCACUCAUGGACUUAGGUGUAGGCCACUCUCUAAUGGCUCUUACCUUGUCCUCAUCAACCUCAAUUCCCUUGCCACUCACCACAAAUCCUAAGAAAAUAACUUUGUCCAUACAGAAAGUGCAUUUCUUAAGAUUGGCAUACAAGUGCUCUUUUCUCAACACCUCAAAGACUUGUCUCAAGUGCAGCAAAUGAUCAUGCAUAUUUUGGCUAUAUACUAGGAUAUCAUCAAAAUACACUACAACAAAUUUUCCUAGGAAAGCAUGCAACACAUGGUUCAUAAGCCUCA